CACGAGUUUGAUCAUGGCUCAGAUUGAACGCUGGCGGAAUGCUUUACACAUGCAAGUCGAACGGUAGAGGGGGCAACCCCUUGAGAGCGGCGGACGGGUGAGUAAUGCCUAGGAAUCUGCCUAGUGUGGGGGAUAACGUUCGGAAACGGACGCCAAUACCGCAUACGUCCUACGGGAGAAAGCGGGGGAUCUUCGGACCUCGCGCCAUUAGAUGAGCCUAGGUCGGAUUAGCUAGUUGGUGAGGUAAUGGCUCACCAAGGCGACGAUCCGUAACUGGUCUGAGAGGAUGAUCAGCCACACUGGGACUGAGACACGGCCCAGACUCCUACGGGAGGCAGCAGUGGGGAAUAUUGGACAAUGGGCGCAAGCCUGAUCCAGCCAUGCCGCGUGCAGGAAUAAGGUCCUAUGGAUUGUAAACUGCUUUUAUACAGGAAGAAACACACCCUCGUGAGGGUACUUGACGGUACUGUAUGAAUAAGGACCGGCUAACUCCGUG
rnacentral:rRNA from 1 species